GACAGAGGGUGCAAACGUUGCUCGGAAUUACUGGGCGUAAAGCGCGUGUAGGCGGUUCCGCAAGUCAGGCGUGAAAGCCCAGGGCUCAACCCUGGAAGUGCACUUGAUACUACGGAGCUUGAGUACUGAAGAGGAGAGCGGAAUUCCCGGUGUAGAGGUGAAAUUCGUAGAUAUCGGGAGGAACACCAGUGGCGAAGGCGGCUCUCUAGGCAGAUACUGACGCUGAGACGCGAAAGCAUGGGGAGCAAACAGG
rnacentral:rRNA from 1 species